ensembl:lncRNA
AAAGGUCAAGCCGCAUAAUAGAUUUAUAGCUUUUUUUAACAUUAAAAAAAUAGUAGAAAAUCAAAAGGUGGGUUUUUGGAAAAAAGAAGCUUUGUGUUAUGUGUGGGGCAGUUAGAUGGGUUCACCAGAUGUGUUUUGAUAUGGGUAGGUCAAAAGGUCAAGCCGCAUAAUAGAUUUAUAGCCUUUUUUAACAUUAAACAAAUAGUAUAAAAUCAAAAGGUGGGUUUUUGGAAAAAAGAAGCUUUGAGUUAUGUGUGGGGCAGUUAGCUGAGUUCACCAGAUGUGUUUUGAUAUGGGUAAGUCAAAAGGUCAAGCCGCAUAAUAGAUUUAUAGCUUUUUCUGAGUAAAAAAUAUAUAUAAAAUCAAAGGGUAGGUAUUUUGAGAAAAUAAGCUUUGUGUUAUGUGUGGGGCAGUUGGAUGGGUUCGCCAGAUGUGUUUUGAUAUGGGUAGGUCAAAAGGUCAAGCCGCAUAAUAGAUUUAUGGCCUUUUUUAACAUAAAAAAAAUAGUAUAAAAUCAAAAGGUGGGUUUUUGGAAAAAAUAAGCUUUGUUUUAUGUGUGGGGCAGUUAGCUGAGUUCACCAGAUGUGUUUUGAUAUGUGUAGGUCAAAAGGUCAAGCCGCAUAAUAGAUUUAUAGCUUUUUCUGAGUAAAAAAUAUUUAUAAAAUCAAAGGGUAGGUAUUUUGAGAAAAGAAGCUUUGUGUUAUGUGUGGGGCAGUUAGCUGAGUUCACCAGAUGUGUUUUGAUAUGGGUAGGUCAAAAGGUCAAGCCGCAUAAUAGAUUUAUAGCCUUUUUUAACAUUAAACAAAUAGUAUAAAAUCAAAAGGUGGGUUUUUGGAAAAAAGAAGCUUUGUGUUAUGUGUGGGGCAGUUAGCUGAGUUCACCAGAUGUGUUUUGAUAUGGGUAAGUCAAAAGGUCAAGCCGCAUAAUAGAUUUAUAGCCUUUUUUAACAUUAAAAAAAUAGUAUAAAAUCAAAAG